rnacentral:rRNA from 1 species
UACGGAGGGUGCAAGCGUUAUCCGGAUUCACUGGGUUUAAAGGGUGCGUAGGUGGGCUAGUAAGUCCGUGGUGAAAUCUCCAAGCUUAACUUGGAAACUGCCGUGGAUACUAUUAGUCUUGAAUAUUGUGGAGGUAAGCGGAAUAUGUCAUGUAGCGGUGAAAUGCUUAGAUAUGACAUAGAACACCGAUAGCGAAGGCAGCUUGCUACACAAUCAUUGACACUGAGUCACGAAAUC